ACCUUUUUUUUUUUUUCUUUCUAAAGAAAAUAACCGUAGGAGCUUAUGUCAUCUUACAUGCAACAUGACAAGUAAGCGGAUGUCUCUUUGGAAUGCAGCCUACCCGUUGCUGACUUGUCAUAAACUCCAAAAUUUGCAUGAACUGCCAUUUCUAUUUACGAGUCACUCCUAGUCAAGUUAUUGAGUUGGCUUGGAAAUGGGGAGUUGCUGAUUCUUUGUUGUAAUCCUUGAUUGCAGGCCCAACUUCAGUUG
rnacentral:misc_RNA from 1 species